UACAGAGGUCUCAAGCGUUGUUCGGAUUCAUUGGGCGUAAAGGGUGUGUAGGUGGCGCCGUAAGUCGGGCGUGAAAUUUCGGAGCUUAACUCCGAAACUGCAUUCGAUACUGCGGUGCUUGAGGACUGGAGAGGAGACUGGAAUUUACGGUGUAGCAGUGAAAUGCGUAGAGAUCGUAAGGAAGACCAGUGGCGAAGGCGGGUCUCUGGACAGUUCCUGACACUGAGGCACGAAGGCCAGGGGAGCAAACGGG
rnacentral:rRNA from 1 species